CUCGAAGCAAACCCAGCUCGCAAGCCUUACCAAUCAUCAAACUUGGGGAUUCGGUAGCAACGACAAAAAGAAAUGGAGACAAGAGAUCACCUUGUCUCAGCCCAUUCCGCGUGGUGUAUUCCUCAGUGGGACUCCCAUUAAUCAAAUUUGAGAAUCGAGUGUUGGAGAGACAGGCAUUUUAUCCACAAUCACCACUUCCUGNNNGCUCCAUUACCCUUUCAAUAUGAUCCCAGCUGACCAUAUCAAAUGCGAUCUCAAAGUCG
rnacentral:misc_RNA from 1 species